CACUGAAUGAUCCUGGGUUUAGCUGUGUUUGUUUUCACCAGGCCGGACCUUGGCACUUGGACCUACAUAACACCCCCUGACAGCUCAAGAUCACCUGAGCUAUCACAUGGCUGUGAUAACAGCUGACCACAAUAACAGAAGAUGAGUACGUUUCUUCUGCACAGAGUAGGCUGUUUCCCCAGGAACCUGUGAGAUGCCAUCAAACUCCAGAUGAGGGUCUGCAAGAGACUUCUUGAGAAAACCAGGGUUCCCCAAAUGGAAAGUGUGCAGCACAGUCCAGCAGAGAAACUUUAACUAGAGGUGGAGCAGCAAUGGUGCCUUGCAGAAUCACAUGGAAUGCUGGUGAAUUGUGCUUGGCAACUCUAAAGACCAAAGCUGGAGCUUCCAUUUAAUCCCUUUGACUCUGGCACGCUCAGGAAUGCAUCCUUAGGCUUCUCCGAACUACAAAUAGCCUCAGUACGAUUUCUGCAGACCACCAACCACAAAGACGUCUGAGUCUCACUAAUUAUCCUCUCUUCCUCAUGUGAUAUUUACAUCUGUAUCUAUAGGAGGAGAUCAUGUACAAGCAUUAAAGAGCCCUGUUUUGCAGUCUCAUGGGGUUCUAUGUUCAAGAGGGGAACUUACCCACUUACCCACUGUUGAACAGACAAUACAGGUAUGCUGGCACAGUAUGGUUCACAGUCAAAUUCAAGGUGUUUAAAUUUGGCCCUCUCUAGUAAAAAUUAUUAAAGGCACAGCUGUUAACUUCUGUAGGAAAUGGGCUAGAUUCUUAUUUUUCAGUACUACUCUACUACCUGCUUUUAUACUGGGUUGGGGUGUGGAAACUGUCAGAG